rnacentral:rRNA from 1 species
UACGGAGGAUGCAAGCGUUAUCCGGAAUGAUUGGGCGUAAAGCGUCCGCAGGUGGCUAUGUAAGUCUGCUGUUAAAGAGUGAGGCUCAACCUCAUAAGAGCAGUGGAAACUACAUGGCUAGAGUGCGUUCGGGGCAGAGGGAAUUCCUGGUGUAGCGGUGAAAUGCGUAGAUAUCAGGAGGAACACCUGUGGCGAAAGCGAGUUACUGGUUCAUUACUGACACUGAGGAACGAAAGCUAGGGUAGCAAAAGGG